UGCGAAGAGGGCUAGCCUUGUUCGGAAUCACUGGGCGUAAAGCGCACGCAGGCGGAUCGAUAAGUCGGGGGUGAAAGCCCGGGGCUCAACCUCGGAAUUGCCUUCGGUACUGUCGGUCUCGAGUCCGGGAGAGGUGAGUGGAAUUCCUAGUGUAGAGGUGAAAUUCGUAGAUAUUAGGAAGAACACCAGUGGCGAAGGCGGCUCACUGGCCCGGUACUGACGCUCAGGUGCGAAAGCGUGGGGAGCAAACAGG
rnacentral:rRNA from 1 species